rnacentral:tRNA from 1 species
UAUGUCUUAGUAUACUUGUAUACAGGUUUUUGAUACCUGGGGAAAUAGUCAAUUACUAUUAGAUAUAU